GUGCUCCCUUAGGUAGCACAUACACCAAAAUUGGAAUAAUACAGAGAAGAUUAGUAGGGUCACUGUGCAAGGGCAACAGGCAAAUUCAUGAGGUAUUCAAAAAAAAA